rnacentral:rRNA from 1 species
GACCUGAGCUCAGGCAAGAUUACCCGCUGAACUUAAGCAUAUCAAUAAGCGGAGGAAAAGAAACUAACCAGGAUUCCCCUAGUAACGGCGAGCGAACCGGGAAUAGCCCAACUUGAAAAUCUCCCUUUGGAGAAUUGUAGUCUACAGAAGUGCCCUCUGUGGCGGGUGGAGCUCAAGUCCGCUGGAAGGCGGCGUCAGAGAGGGUGAGAACCCCGUCGGCUCCAUCUUAGCUACACCACGAGGUGCUUUCCACGAGUCGGGUUGUUUGGGAAUGCAGCCCUAAAUUGGAGGUAAAUCCCUUCUAAGGCUAAAUAACGG